CCUACGGGAGGCAGCAGUAGGGAAUCUUCCACAAUGGACGAAAGUCUGAUGGAGCAACGCCGCGUGAGUGAAGAAGGGUUUCGGCUCGUAAAGCUCUGUUGGUAGUGAAGAAAGAUAGAGGUAGUAACUGGCCUUUAUUUGAUGGUAAUUACUUAGAAAGUCACGGCUAACUACGGGCCAGCAGCCGCGGUAAUACGUAGGUGGCAAGCGUUGUCCGGAUUUAUUGGGCGUAAAGCGAGUGCAGGCGGUUCAAUAAGUCUGAUGUGAAAGCCUUCGGCUCAACCGGAGAAUUGCAUCAGAAACUGUUGAACUGGAGUGCAGAAGAGGAGAGUGGAACUCCAUGUGUAGCGGUGGAAUGCGUAGAUAUAUGGAAGAACACCAGUGGCGAAGGCGGCUCUCUGGUCUGCAACUGACGCUGAGGCUCGAAAGCAUGGGUAGCGAACAGGAUUAGAUACCCUUGUAGUC
rnacentral:rRNA from 1 species